rnacentral:rRNA from 1 species
AUACGUAGGGGGCGAGCGUUGUCCGGAAUGAUUGGGCGUAAAGGGCGCGUAGGCGGCCCGGUAAGUCUGGAGUGAAAGUCCUGCUUUUAAGGUGGGAAUUGCUUUGGAUACUGUCGGGCUUGAGUGCAGGAGAGGUAAGUGGAAUUCCCAGUGUAGCGGUGAAAUGCGUAGAGAUUGGGAGGAACACCAGUGGCGAAGGCGACUUACUGGACUGUAACUGACGCUGAGGCGCGAAAGUGUGGGGAGCAAACAGGAUUAGAUGCCCUGGUAGUCCACACUGUAAACGAUGAAUGCUAGGUGUAGGGGGUAUCGACCCCUUCUGUGCCGCAGUUAACACAAUAAGCAUUCCGCCUGGGGAGUACGGCCGCAAGGUUGAAACUCAAAGGAAUUGGCGGGG